rnacentral:tRNA from 1 species
GUCCCGUUCGUCUAGAGGUCUAGGACACCGCCCUUUCACGGCGGUAACAGGGGUUCGACUCCCCCUACGGGAUACCA